UUUCCGCCAGCUCUCGCGGGGUCUUUGUACGUGGAAUAUUUCCGGGUAAAUUUUUGCCAGCUUUGGGCUCGCAGUCAUGUAGCGCCGACACAGUAAAUCCUGCUUUGAGAAGAUUCGUUGCCACUUUUUCACCAACUGUACCCAAACCAAUGAUUCCAAUCGCUUCGUUUGAAGUAGAUUCAAUGCCGUACAAGCCGACUAGAAUUUUUUACACUUAUGGGUUUGAUCUCAAUUCUAGUAAAUGCCGGACCAGAAAAAAAUGAAUGUAACAAGGGAUGCAACCUAGGAACAAGGGGAUUUUUACAACGUUAGAAACACUCUUCCCUUGGCGUAGCGUUAUCCAGGCAUCGUACAACUGAGCAUGAUGUAAAAAUUUCUGCAGGAUGUAUCAAAAGUGGACGCUUUCAUAUCUAAAUUUGGCAAAUAUCCCGUUGCAGUAAUU